rnacentral:rRNA from 1 species
AGGCCCUUUUGGGGGUACUCGAGCGGCGAACGGGUGAGUAACACGUGAGUAAUCUGCCCUUCACUCUGGGAUAACUGCCUGAAAGGGUGGCUAAUACCGGAUAUUCACGCAUGUCUGCAUGGGUGUGUGUGGAAAGAUUUUUUGGUGGGGGAUGUGCUCGCGGCCUAUCAGCUUGUUGGUGGGGUAAUGGCCUACCAAGGCUUCGACGGGUAGCCGGCCUGAGAGGGUGACCGGCCACACUGGGACUGAGACACGGCCCAGACUCCUACGGGAGGCAGCAGUGGGGAAUAUUGGACAAUGGGCGGAAGCCUGAUCCAGCAACGCCGCGUGAGGGAUGACGGCCUUCGGGUUGUAAACCUCUUUCAGCAUUGACGAAGCUGCAUCUUUUUGGGUGUGGUGACGGUAUGUGCAGAAGAAGCACCGGCCAACUACGUGCCAGCAGCCGCGGUAAUACGUAGGGUGCGAGCGUUGUCCGGAAUUAUUGGGCGUAAAGGGCUCGUAGGCGGUUUG